rnacentral:lncRNA from 1 species
GAGGGCCCUCUACCAAUCGCUAAAAGGUCCCGAACUCUCACAGUCGUCCUGCCUGUCCUGCUCCAUACCCUCCUGUCCACUGCCUCCCCCUCCGGGAUCGGCAGAGCUAGGACGCGCUCAGCAAGGUGCUCCCCGAAUACCUGUCGAACAAGGCUCGUGUCCCACCUCCGCUCCCCCUGGGCAAAUAAGGCACACACUCUACGUCCCUCCAUCC